rnacentral:SRP_RNA from 1 species
GCUGGGUGUGGCGGCGUGUGCCUGUAGUCCCAGCUACUUGGGAGGCUGAGGCAGGAGGAUCACUUGAGCCCAGGAGUUCAAGGCUGCAGUGAGCUAAGAUCAUACCACUGCACUCCAGCCUGGGUAAUAGAGUGAGAUCCUGUCUCAA